CUGCGCGUGGUGCACAUUUUUGCACAUCUUGUGAAUAAUAUUGUGUUUUUUGGAUUUCCUCGGGUAAAAAAGGGAUUGAAAUGAGUGAUUCGGAAGAAGACCCGGUACAAUCUCGGAUAAAUCCGGUACCAUUAUCCCUCGCCUACCCAGUAUCGGUAACUCCCGGUGGGUCUGGCCCCAUACUUUACCUUAGUUUCAUUUUAGACUUUAUUGUGAAAAGUAAUUAUGUGAAAACAGAUAAUCACUUCCAGACCUCAAUCAUACCUAGGUAUGUCAUCAAUAACUAAAUAUGUUAUUUGCCUUUUUAGACUUGGGUACCACCCACGACGCCAACUGUGGUUACGACAAGGACAGCAUCCCCUGCCCCGAGAAGAUAUCCGAUUGCGCUAAUAUUUUGCCGAGAUAUGUACGUUAGAUGACAAUGCAAUAUUUUGGUGGCAGUGAGCUGAUCUGAUGAAUGACGUAAUCGGAAGGUGAUCACUGGAACUUGAUGAAGGAACAACGUAAACUUAUUGAAUUUGGGUUCAUCUGUUUGUCUUGACGAGCAUUUUUAUAAAAGGAUGCUUUAAAAAUAUAUUUUUU